AACUUUACUGAUCGCAGUCGGCCAAGUGUCGGCGACGGAUCUUUCAAAUGUCUGCCCUAUCAAUUAUCGAUGGUAGGUGACCUGCCUACCAUGGUGAUAACGGGUAACGGGGAAUCAGGGUUCGAUUCCGGAGAGGGAGCCUGAGAAACGGCUACCACAUCCAAGGAAGGCAGCAGGCACGCAAAUUACCCAAUCCCGGCACGGGGAGGUAGUGACGAAAAAUACGAAUACGGGACUCAAUUGAGGCUCCGUAAUUCGAAUGAGUACAAUUUAAAUCCUUUAACGAGGACCAACUGGAGGGCAAGUCUGGUGCCAGCAGCCGCGGUAACUCCAGCUUCAGAAGCGUAUAUUAAAGUUGUUGCAGUUAAAAAGCUCGUAGUUGGAUCUGGGUCGUAUAGCCACAUGCUGUGCUUGUGCUGUCUGCUGUAAAAGGUGGACUAGUACGAGUCGGUGUAGUGGUUGUGCAGCCUUUCUGCCGUGUCUGUGUAUACGGGUGCUGGCUGGCUCGGUGGGUUCGUCCUGUCAGUCAGUUGGCAUGCUUCUUGAUGCCCUUAACACGGUGUCGGGAGCGGACGGCACGUUUACUUUGAACAAAUUUGAGUGCUCAAAGCAGGCCAAUGCGCCUGAAAAUUCUUGCAUGGAAUAAUGGAAUAGGACUUCGGUUCUAUUUUGUUGGUUUUCGGAUCCGAAGUAAUGGUUAAGAGGGACAGACGGUGUUAGAGGUGAAAUUCUUGGAUCGCCGCCAGACAAACUACAGCGAAAGCAUUUGCCAAGGAUGUUUUCAUUGAUCUGGAGCGAAAGUCAGAGGUUCGAAGACGAUCAGAUACCGUCCUAGUUCUGACCAUAAACGAUGCCAACUGACGAUCCGUGGUGGUUCUUUUAU
rnacentral:rRNA from 1 species